rnacentral:rRNA from 1 species
UACGUAGGGGGGCAAGCGUUUGUCCGGAUUUAUUGGGCGUAAAGAGCGUGUAGGCGGCUGGGUAGGUCCGUUGUGAAAACUCGAGCUCAACCUCGAGACGCCGAUGGAAACCCUCCAGCUAGAGUCCGGAAGAGGAGAGUGGAAUUCCUGGUGUAGCGGUGAAAUGCGCAGAUAUCAGGAAGAACACCUAUGGCGAAGGCAGCUCUCUGGGACGGUACUGACGCUGAGACGCGAAAGCGUGGGGAGCGAACAGG